rnacentral:sRNA from 1 species
CGAUCUCUCAAUUGACUUUCUGCCGAUCGCCGACCGGUACUGUUCUUUUUUGCCCUCCUUUAUUUUGUUUUGCCCUAGUGCUUACGGAGUACGGGGUAUCGGAUAUUGGGGGCGAGCGACAUGUAGCCUCCAAGCUCCCGGAUCCCCUUCCAUCGCGAUCAAAUCUUAAUCAGAUCCUUGGGGUCCAAUGUUGGUCUCGGGUGAGGUUUCAGUGUGGAUGGAAGGAAUGCUUCUUUCUGGGUUUCUUAUUCCAUUGCCAUUUGUCCGGGAUGUCUUCCGAUGUUCUCUGUAGUCAGGGAGACCGACGGCCUUUGAUACCAUCCAGCUACUACUACUCCGUACAAGGGCCCUUAACCCUUGAGCCAAUGCUAAAUGAACAAUUGGUGCACCCAGGUUCUUUACCGAAGACCCUGGGCCUUGUUCUCCUUUCCGUACCUAGGUAGUCGGCAACAUUUGCGAGAU